UACAGAGGUCUCAAGCGUUGUUCGGAUUCAUUGGGCGUAAAGGGUGCGUAGGCGGCGCGGUAAGUCGGGUGUGAAAUCUCGGAGCUUAACUUCGAAACUGCAUUCGAUACUGCCGUGCUUGAGGACUGGAGAGGAGACUGGAAUUUACGGUGUAGCGGUGAAAUGCGUAGAUAUCGUAAGGAAGACCAGUGGCGAAGGCGGGUCUCUGGACAGUUCCUGACGCUGAGGCACGAAGGCCCAGGGGGAGCAAAACGGGGAUUA
rnacentral:rRNA from 1 species